CUCCAGACGGCCAUUAGUUUGGGCCUCAGCCAGAUAAUAGCACAGAGAACAGAUCAGUGUUUCAUGCAGCUCAAAGGGCUCGAAGAUAUGCAGUCAUAAAUACUGGUGGAGUAAAUUUGGUCCCUCAGGUUUGGAGCGCUCAGGACAAAAUCAAGUAGUAUGUGGAGACUUUCAGAAGUGGGUGAUGGGUAGCCUUUCAGACAUUUCCCGGACUAAUGAAAUGUGGGAGAAACUUCAAGAUUGAUAGCUAGAACUGCUUUUACUAUAGGUUUGGGCAACUGGAAAAACAUUGACAAAUGCUUGUCGUUGGAAUAGGUGGUAGCUUUUUUGGGCCUCUAUUUGUGCAUAUUGCACUCUAGGAUGGUGAACUACAGAGUUAUUCAGUCCCUAGGUUCCUAGAAACUUGUAUGCAUUCUGAACUAACAUGCCUAGAAAAUAUUGGUGAUUUUCAGAUCCAAGCGUGAGGACAAGCUAACAAACAUCUAUAAAUAUUAUGAUGUCAGAUGAU